CACCCAGACUCCUACGGGAGGCAGCAGUGGGGAAUAUUGGGCAAUGGGCGCAAGCCUGACCCAGCAACGCCGCGUGAAGGAAGAAGGCUUUCGGGUUGUAAACUUCUUUUCUGGGGGACGAACAAAUGACGGUACCCCAGGAAUAAGCCACGGCUAACUCCGUGCCAGCAGCCGCGGUAAUACGGAGGAUGCGAGCGUUAUCCGGAUUUAUUGGGUUUAAAGGGUGCGCAGGCGGAUUUUUAAGUCAGCGGUCAAAUCGCGGGGCUCAACCUCGCUCCGCCGUUGAAACUGGCGUUCUUGAGUGGGCGAGAAGUAUGCGGAAUGCGUGGUGUAGCGGUGAAAUGCAUAGAUAUCACGCAGAACUCCGAUUGCGAAGGCAGCAUACCGGCGCCCAACUGACGCUGAAGCACGAAAGCGUGGGUAUCGAACAGGAUUAGAUACCCCCGUAC
rnacentral:rRNA from 1 species